rnacentral:tRNA from 1 species
GCAGGGAUAGCUCAGUAGGUAGAGCACGUGAUUGAAAAUCACGGUCGCGCCAGUUCAAUUCUGGCUCCUUGCA